rnacentral:rRNA from 1 species
UACGUAGGGUGCGAGCGUUAAUCGGAAUUACUGGGCGUAAAGCGUGCGCAGGCGGUUCGUUGUGUCGGCGGUGAAAGCCCCGGGCUCAACCUGGGAAUGGCCGUUGAAACUGGCGAACUGGAGUGUGGCAGAGGGGGGGUGGAAUUCUCGGUGUAGAGGUGAAAUUCGUAGAUAUGCGGAGGAACACCGAUGGCGAAGGCAAUCCCCUGGACCUGUACUGACGCUCAUGCACGAAAGCGUGGGGAGCAAACAGG